CCUCAGUCACGGCUUCCCGUGGAGCAUUGCUGCUGCUGCCAAGAGAGAGAAAUCCUUUGGGAAGCUGGGAUACAAACAGCAACUUUGUGAAUUGCUCAGCUUUUCCUAGGAACCACAAAACCUGAAGUUCCCGAAGCAGCAAGAGCAGCGACAGCAACGGCAAAGCUGCUGAGCAGGAGAAACCGAAGCACUUAAAGGAACUUUCUGAGAAUCAAGAAGCCAGACUUCAGCAAGUGACAGCCCUGAAAGGCCACGUGGAGCAGAAAAGACUCAGCGUUGGGAAAUGAGCGGAGGAGGCGGACCAGCUGAAGAGCCUGUUGCAGCCGAAGCGGCGCGAGCUGGCGCUGGACGUGCCGAAAGCAGAGGAACUGCCUGGGCUGCCAGAGAUGCUGAGGAAGGGCCGAGGAAUUGGUGGUUACCAUGACAACCUGUCACCUGUAGCUGAGCUCCACCCACUGCGUGUCCAAGGAGCUGCAGCUGAGGAACAAAGUGAAGCAGGAGCAGAAUGCCGGGCUGCAGCACCAGAGGGAGCUUUGGAAGGAGCACAAGUUGGAGGUGGCAGUGCUGGAGAAGCGUGUUAGUGAACUGCCAGAGCGCCUGGGGAAGAGAAAGGCAACUCUGUCCCAGGGAGAGAAUGUGCCGGUUUCUUCAGAUGGAAUUCACCACAGCCGGUGGCUUCUGCUCCAAGGGGAGUGGCAGCAGUAGGUCCUUCUAUCCAGUCCUCUACUACACCACAUAUGCUUCCAGACCUGAACUUUGGUGAAAGCAGCAUUCUCAGGUGGGACAUGAGCCUUGCCGGGCAGCGAGGGGCUGCUAAAAUCACAAACUCUGCCCAAUGCGGGAGCUGGGAACCAUUCACAAGCUAAAGCUCCUGCAGGUUCUGUGAUCACCUGUGCAAAACCUUCCCCAUCUGCCCCUGACUGGAGUAGUUCAAAUGCAGACAAUCAUAUUGGUCAGGGAUCAGCCUUGACUUCAGGAAAAGGAAUUGUGACUAGUGAAGGACAAGAUCAUCUGUGAACUGGAAGGGAGGAAAGGCUCCAACAGAAUGGCUUUUGCCUUGAGACAGAGAAAUGAAGGGUUGGGCUCUGAUCAGAGAUGUUUGGCAGUGCUGUGAUGGUCAGUCCUUCCUCCUGAGAGAGCCUCACCUGCUCUCCCAGCUCGGAGACCUGCGCCUAUGAGAAAACAAGCCGUGCAAACCCUAACUGUGUCAACAAUACAAGCCCGUUCAGCUGUCGUUGAUCUGCACAGCCAGAGAACUUCCUCCCUGAGGACACUGCUGUCAGAGCUGUGAGAUCAGAGCAGGAGGGUCAGGCCUGGCCUGAGCCAGAUGGGUCCCUCAGUCCCCUGCAACCUCCCCCCCCCAGUGUUGUCCUGGUUUGACCCAAUGGCAGCAUGUCCCCCAAAGUACAGCAGGACCCAGGGAAAGGGUGUGUGGAGCAGCUGUGCAGCAAUGAGGGACAGAGCUGCUUUGGGGAGGGCAGGAGGAUGAUUGCUUCCUCCAGCUCCCAUGGACCUCUGAGCAAAGGGGGCAAUUUCCAACCCCUCUGAGGGAUUUAUAUUGUGGGACCUGAUAUAUUCUGGAGCCCUUUUGAGAGCAAGAGGUAUCCACCUGGAACCACAGACUCACCCAAAAUUGCACUGGGGAGGUGUCAAACAGGAGACAAGGGAGAUUCAGG